GACGAACGCUGGCGGCGUGCUUAACACAUGCAAGUCGAACGGAAAGGCCCUGCUUUUGUGGGGUGCUCGAGUGGCGAACGGGUGAGUAACACGUGAGUAACCUGCCCUUGACUUUGGGAUAACUUCAGGAAACUGGGGCUAAUACCGGAUAUGAGCUCCUUCUGCAUGGUGGGGGUUGGAAAGUUUCGGCGGUUGGGGAUGGACUCGCGGCUUAUCAGCUUGUUGGUGGGGUAGUGGCUUACCAAGGCUUUGACGGGUAGCCGGCCUGAGAGGGUGACCGGCCACAUUGGGACUGAGAUACGGCCCAGACUCCUACGGGAGGCAGCAGUGGGGAAUAUUGCACAAUGGGCGGAAGCCUGAUGCAGCAACGCCGCGUGCGGGAUGACGGCCUUCGGGUUGUAAACCGCUUUCGCCUGUGACGAAGCGUGAGUGACGGUAAUGGGUAAAGAAGCACCGGCUAACUACGUG
rnacentral:rRNA from 1 species